rnacentral:rRNA from 1 species
GCAUGGCCGUUCUUAGUUGGUGGAGUGAUUUGUCUGCUCAAUUGCGGUAACGAACGAGACCUCUCCCAUCUUAAUAGGACCCUCGGUCCUGUUCUUCGGGACCGGUGGGUGGGCCGCCGGGGUGGCUCCCAUGGUUAAUCGCUGUGGGAU